rnacentral:tRNA from 1 species
GUUAAUGUAGCUUAUCAUAGAAAGCAUGGCGUUGAAGAUGCCAAGAUGGGUCCUUAUAAACCCCAAUAGCA